rnacentral:tRNA from 2 species
GCGGAAAUGGUGAAAUUGGCAGACACACCAGACUUAGGAUCUGGCGCCGCAAGGCAUGGAGGUUCAAGUCCUCUUUUCCGCACCA